GUUCUUGCUGCCUCUAUUUCCCCUUCAUAAACUUUACUUCUUUAGUGCACACUCAUACUCUGUGUUUGAUUAAUUACCAAACCCCAUCACCCAGAAAAAAGAAAGACACAGAUUUUACGGUAGAAAAGAGAAAAAUUAACCACUUUUUCUUUUGACAUGACUUGAAACAAAGAUGAGUCCUAGAUUUCCCUGAAAAGACCUCCGCCACUAUCAGGAAUCAAGGCCAAGAGGAACCAAUAACAUCCCAUCUUUUAAUCACACCAGAUGUCUAAUCUUUUACAACAACCGCACAUCAUCAUAAAGCCAUGGUUCCAUUUAAAAUUUUAGCCAUUUAAGCACUUUAGUUCCCCAGAGGAAACCAAGAUGUAUCACUUUCAUUUCCUCAAAUAAUCAUGCAUACCCCAAGAUACAAGUCAA
rnacentral:misc_RNA from 1 species